rnacentral:rRNA from 1 species
UACGUAGGGGGCAAGCGUUGUCCGGAUUUAUUGGGCGUAAAGAGCGUGUAGGCGGUCAGGUAGGUCCGUUGUGAAAACUCGAGGCUCAACCUCGAGACGCCGAUGGAAACCAUCUGACUAGAGUCCGGAAGAGGAGAGUGGAAUUCUUGGUGUAGCAGUGAAAUGCGUAGAUAUCAAGAGGAACACCAGUGGCGAAGGCGAGUCCCUGGACAACUUCUGACGCUGAGGCACGAAAGCUAGGGGAGCAAACAGG